UACAGAGGGUGCGAGCGUUAAUCGGAAUUACUGGGCGUAAAGCGCACGUAGUCGGCUUUGCAAGUCGGUCGUGAAAUCCCCGGGCUCAACCUGGGAACUGCAUCCGAGACUGCAUUGCUAGAGUAUGGGAGAGGAAAGCGGAAUUUCUGGUGUAGCAGUGAAAUGCGUAGAUAUCAGAAGGAACAUCAGUGGCGAAGGCGGCUUUCUGGACCAAUACUGACGAUCAGGUGCGAAAGCAAGGGGAUCAAACAGG
rnacentral:rRNA from 1 species